rnacentral:rRNA from 1 species
AGAGUUUGAUCCUGGCUCAGGACGAACGCUGGCGGCGUGCUUAACACAUGCAAGUCGAACGGAAAGGCCCUGCUUUUGUGGGGUGCUCGAGUGGCGAACGGGUGAGUAACACGUGAGUAACCUGCCCUUGACUUUGGGAUAACUUCAGGAAACUGGGGCUAAUACCGGAUAGGAGCUCCUGCUGCAUGGUGGGGUUGGAAAGUUUCGGCGGUUGGGGAUGGACUCGCGGCUUAUCAGCUUGUUGGUGGGUAGUGGCUUACCAAGGCUUUGACGGGUAGCCGGCCUGAGAGGGUGACCGGCACAUUGGGACUGAGAYACGGCCCAGACUCCUACGGGAGGCAGCAGUGGGGAAUAUUGCRCAAUGGGCGGAAGCCUGAUGCAGCGACGCCGCGUGAGGGAUGACGGCCUUCGGGUUGUAAACCUCUUUCAGCAGGGACGAAGCGAGAGUGACGGUACCUGCAGAAGAAGCGCCGGCCAACUACGUGCCAGCAGCCGCGGUAAUACGUAGGGCGCAAGCGUUGUCCGGAAUUAUUGGGCGUAAAGAGCUCGUAGGCGGUCUGUCGCGUCGGCUGUGAAAACCCGGGGCUCAACCCCGGGCCUGCAGUCGAUACGGGCAGACUAGAGUGCGGUAGGGGAGAUUGGAAUUCCUGGUGUAGCGGUGAAAUGCGCAGAUAUCAGGAGGAACACCGGUGGCGAAGGCGGAUCUCUGGGCCGUAACUGACGCUGAGGAGCGAAAGCGUGGGGAGCGAACAGGAUUAGAUACCCUGGUAGUCCACGCCGUAAACGUUGGGAACUAGGUGUGGGGGCCAUUCCACGUCSUCSGUGCCGCAGCUAACGCAUUAAGUYCCCCGCCUGGGGAGUACGGCCGCAAGGCUAAAACUCAAAGGGAAUUGACGGGGGCCCGCACAAGCGGCGGAGCAUGCGGAUUAAUUCGAUGCAACGCGAAGAACCUUACCAAGGCUUGACAUAUACCUGAAAAGGCUGGAAACAGUCUCCCCGCAAGGCAGGUAUACAGGUGGUGCAUGGUUGUCAUACGUGGUGUCGUGAGAUGUUGG